rnacentral:rRNA from 1 species
CUUGCUUUCUUUGCUGGCGACCGGCGCACGGGUGAGUAACACGUAUCCAACCUGCCCUUUACUCGGGGAUAGCCUUUCGAAAGAAAGAUUAAUACCCGAUAGCAUAAUGAUUCCGCAUGGUUUCAUUAUUAAAGGAUUCCGGUAAAGGAUGGGGAUGCGUUCCAUUAGGUUGUUGGUGGGGUAACGGCCCACCAAGCCUUCGAUGGAUAGGGGUUCUGAGAGGAAGGUCCCCCACAUUGGUACUGAGACACGGACCAA